AACCAUGGCCUAAAUAUCCCGAAGGACCAGCUCCCAUCUGAUCUUAGAAACUUAGGAGGAUUGGGCCUGAUUUAUACUUAUAUGGGAGACCACCAAGGAAUACCAGAUGCUAUAGGUU
rnacentral:rRNA from 1 species